rnacentral:rRNA from 1 species
CGUAGGGUGCGAGCGUUAAUCGGAAUUACUGGGCGUAAAGCGUGCGCAGGCGGUUUGUUAAGAUAGGCGUGAAAUCCCCGGGCUCAACCUGGGAACUGCGCUUAUGACUGGCAAGCUAGAGUACGGCAGAGGGGGUGGAAUUCCACGUGUAGCAGUGAAAUGCGUAGAGAUGUGGAGGAACACCAAUGGCGAAGGCAGCCCCCUGGGUCGAUACUGACGCUCAUGCACGAAAGCGUGGGUAGCAAACAGGAUUAGAUGCCCUGGUAGUCCACGCCCUAAACGAUGUCAACUAGGUGUUGGGAGGGUAAAACCUUUUAGUACCGGAGCUAACGCGUGAAGUUGACCGCCUGGGGAGUACGGCCGCAAGGUUA